CGGACAUUGUAUUGCUUAAUUACCCGCAUUGCUGCGUCGCAAACGCUCUUUCAGUCAGUGCCAACGAUACUGCCCCGCGCGGUUGCGCGUUCUUACCUGCUUUCCUGCGCGAACGAAACGGCAGCCCUUAGGAUUCCUACUAAAUGUGAUUCAUAUCACCACUCGCGCACAUGUUACCAUAGGCCUACAGCUCGUCGCUGGCUGGCCUAUGUUGCUGACGCGGCUGAGUGGACCCGCGGCAGCAGGUAUGCUUCUGCGUGGUUGCAUUAAUUUAGUAUGGGACUGCGCUAGAGUGCAAGCGCGGCGCUCACGAAGCUGACCAGCCGAGGCCCGUUUGCAUGCAGGCGUGCCGGGCAUGCGCCCAACUCCGCAUGUGCGGCAUGGCGCCUGCCUUGGUUCACACCGGCAUGGAUGUGGAACGGCGAGCCACGGGCGCGCCUGGCGUGUCGCGGCCGCGUGCCACCUGCCCGAGGGGAGCGCGGGAGCCACCCCGGGAGUCGGGUGAGUCGGCGCCUGUUGCAGCGCCCACUGCUGUAACAUACUUUGCGAAUGCAUGCUCGCAAGUAACAGCACCGAAUGCACCCUGCACGCAGGUCGCCGCCUGCAGCUGCAGCAGGGCAGGUGGGAAGACCCAGGGGACAAACUUUGCAACGUUUCUCAAGAAGGGCAUGUAGUGCGCGCAGGGGUCAUUGUGAUUCGACUGCCCGAGUAUCGCCGGAUAGUCUUCGUUUUCUCCUGUCCCCAUGACCCACUCGCAGGUCGCUUGCUGCUUUUUACUCGUUGCUCACGUUGAACUUUGCAUGCAGGAUUCAGUGCAGUGCUUCACGGAGAUGCUCCGUCAGGAGCUAAACCCUGUAGAGACAAGCCUUCAAGUGGUCCGUCAGGAGCUGAGCACAAUAAAGACAAGCCUUCAAGAAAUGAAGAAAAGCCUUCACCAGAUUGAAGGAUUUAGCGCAAUACUAGUGGAGGCCGUCGCGGGCACGGCGCUGCGUGAUCGCGAGCAGAAGCAGGAGGCGGCAAGCGUGGUCCUGAAGGAUGCGGCCAGUGUGGUGAAGUGCGUGCUGCCUCCCGGGCUGCCGCCACACGUGCACGAGGUGGCGGCGGGCAAGCUGGCGGCCUGGCUGGUAGAGGAGGUAGGCCGUGUGGGGACAUAGUUGGCGGGCGGGGCGCAGGGCAUCAGUAUGCUGCCUCACCUGUCAGCAGAGCCAGGGCAUUGGCGUGCAUCUGAUGCAUGCCCCAGACGCAUGGAUGCCCGAUGGCUGCCUAGACAGCAGGCACAGUCCGUGCUGGCCGUCUCUGCCCUACCGCGCCAUGUAACAGCGCCGCACCCGCCAUGCAGGACCGGGGCCUACGCGCUAUCCUGGAGUCGGAGCUGCGUGCGGUCCCUUCCAGGCUCACCAAUAAAGCAAACGCGCAGUGGAAGGCGGCAGCGGCUAGUGCCGCCCAGGUGUGCGACUGGGGCGGGACGGGAUGAGUAGGGGGUUGCUUGCGGGCUGGGCUUGUGCUCCGUGCUGCACGCUGCUGUGCGAGCAUGUGUGCAUGGAUUCAUCAAAAGCAGUUGGCAAAAGGCCAAACGCCUGGGGCGUUGCUCCAGCGGCACAUGGCACUGCCUCUGUGGGAUUCAGCCGCGAGCCAGCCCACGCACGACAUCCUUGCCGUUGCUGGUCGUGUGUGGUCGUGCAGUGACAAAUAAACCCCUGAAGCCCCUUCUGCCAUGCUCCGUCUGAUAAUGUCGUGCGCAGGCGGCAUUGGCAGUGCUGCAAUGUGCUGCGUGUGGGCAGCAGAACUACUCGCCGGCGCUGGACGCCCUCAAGUGCUGCGCGGACCGCCUGCCUGUCUCCCUGCAGCUGCUGGAAACCUAUGCCACCAAUGACCGGGACACGGCCCUGGCGCUGAUGCGCGGCGAGCUGUGCGUGGCCGCCCUGACGGCGCUGCACCCGCUCAGCAGCGGCGAGGCCUCCUCGACCGCCACACAGCUGCAGGUGGACCGCCUGCUGCCGCUGCGCGUGUGUGCAGAGACCGGCGGCGGUAAAGGCGGCAGCAACGGUCGCAGCGGCAGCGGCAGCGGGGACGGCGAGGGCGACGGCGACGGCGACGGCAGCGGGGACGGAAGCGGGGACGGCGAGGGCGAGGGCGACGGCGGCAGCACAUCUGGGCCCCGUGUUGGACCCGGGGUCACGGCCGUGCUGGAGAUCCAGCAGAUCAAGUCCAGCAGCGCAGGUACGUGGGUGUUGCGAGUGCACUUGAAGACAUGGACCGGGCAUGCAUGGGCGGGGCGACCGUAUAUGUGGAAAGCGCACGUCCGCCCCACAGCUGGAGCGUUCCCUGGAGCGUUCCCUUGUUAACAUGCUCCCUGGCCCGGUACAACACAGGUCUUCCGACGGCGCGGGCGCAAGUGGCCCGGUGCGGCCGCAUCUUUGCGUGCGUGUAUAGCGUCCUACGGGAGCGGCUGUCGGAGGCGUUGGCCAACGCCGAGGUGCAGCUGCCGCCGGAGCUGCGGCUGCAGGCCACGAUCGCGCUCGGCCAGGACGGCGAGCCCGGAGCCAGCGAGGAGCAGCGCCCGCCGCAGCUGGAGCUGUCCACCGCCGACGGCGGCCGGACCCUGAUGCAGAUGCAGUACUUGGUCCUGGCGGCGGAGACGCUGGUGCCCUGGGUGCCGAGCCGGCAGCAGUGAGCGGGCGGGCCUCGGCCUCGGCAGUGGAUGGCUGGGGGGCACGGGACGACCAGGCAGCGGCGGUGGCACUCGGCACGCCUGCUGCAACCGUGUCACGCAGCAUACCUAGCAAUCAAGCGGCCAGCCGUUGAUGCUCACGCUGCCGCUAGCUGGACUGCGGCGCGCUGUGGCGGCGGCAGCAGCGCCGACCGGGCAGUGGGCGCUGCCCACAGCUUCUUUGGGGUGUACGGCAGCGCUGGCGGCGUGGUCCACGGUCGUGGGCGGUCGUUGGGACCGCAGACACAGCUGGCGCUGUGAUGUAGCGAUGUACACGAGGCGAGGGCCUCUGAGACCAAUCGCUGUGUUGCUUCCCCCGACAGUGCCAUGGCACGGCAGGGGCUUGAGGGUGGAGGGUAAGUGUGUGAGGAGAGCGAGGGAGUCCUUUUAUGUGCGGCACGUCUUGAAGGUGUUUGCUAGUGUAGCGGCUGGUGCGAGGGUAAGGCACGUUCGUGUUAGAUACACCGUUGACUCCAAUGUGUCUGACCCUUACUGGCGGGCGUUGUGCCACCAGGGAACCCGGGGCACCACCACAAAGGCCCCGGGAGUGCCGCCAGGAACGCAUACAUCUGUUGUUCUGGCUCAAUUUGCAAAGACAGAAUGCAGGAUUGACCUUUUAAAUGCCUGGUUUUUACUAUGGCGCUGUGUUUGUAAUGCAGUGAGGGGGUGGUGGGGUGGUCAUACUAUCUGCGUGCCCACGUUUUUGCACUGCCGGGGCUGGGUAGGGCCUGCUGGUUGCUGCGCAUGAUGCAAUGGAUGGCGGUGGAGCGCGGCGGCGGCGGCGGCGCACGGCCUGUGCCCAGCAGCGGCGGCGUGCAUGUGCGCAGCAGAGCCGGCAGGCAUGGCCACGUGGAGGAGGAGAGCGGUGCGCUGCCUGAGCAGCGGCGCCGUCGCGCAGGUUCAGAAGUGCUGGUGUCUGGUCUUUGUGGCGAGCAUAGCGUAGCGAUUUACUGCUAGGUGGUUUGUUGCGGGCUGAGCUUGUACUUGACAGCGGGGGGCGGCUCGACACAUGGCGGGUGGUGCCUGUACGAACCGACCCCGGCUUUGUCCGGGGGAUGAGGUAGUUUCGAAACCUUCGGCCUCGGACAUUGCACCAACGUGGCGUGGCCGCACAGCCCAAUUUUCCCCUGGAGACCUGCCUUGUCCGCACCCGUGGUUGUUGGCUUCCAGGAGUGGCAUGACUCCUUGGCGGGUCUACCAAGUGGAGUAGCUGCAAAGACAGCUUGUGACGGCGUUCUGCCUUUGAGAGAAGUCAGUGUUGUGCUUGAGGGGGCGAUCACUCGCAUUGCAUAGCUGAGCCGUGCUGGGCAGGCGGGCGAGGGGGAGGGGGAGGGGGAGGGGCGGUGGUGGACUGGAGGUAGGACUGGAGGUACGGGAGGAGGUAGGGCAGGCGGUAGCGGCGGUAGGGGAGGCAGGAGCGCUGGGUGGUGGAGCGCUGGCACUGGCGCAGGCGGGGGCUGUUGAGGGUCAGACCCAGGGGUGCAGGCGGCGGCAUUUUGAUUUGCGUGUCGGCACGGCGUGUUCACUUGAAUGCAGUCAGGUGGAGGCAAGGCUUGACGUGUAUUGAGUGAUUCGGUUAUGCGGACAGUCACGCGGAAACGCGGGUGUAGCGCCGAGCUGGGGGACACGAGGCGCCGAGCCGGGGGUGCGGGGCGCCAGUCCAGAGCGUGGGGGCCAUCGUCGCGAGGCCCAGGCAUCGCGGAUGAGACAGGUAAGGCCAGCACGCCAAAUAUUCUGGUGGAGCGCCGAGCGCGGACACUACAUUGCUUAAUUACCCGCAUUGCUGCGUCGCAAACGCUCUUUCAGUCAGUGCCAACGAUACUGCCCCGCGCGGUUGCGCGUUCUUACCUGCUUUCCUGCGCGAACGAAACGGCAGCCCUUAGGAUUCCUAUUAAAUGUGAUUCAUAUCACCACUCGCACAUUUUACCACAGGCCUACAGCUCGUCGCUGGCUGGCCUAUGUUGC
rnacentral:lncRNA from 1 species